CUGACUCGCUGCCUGAAAAGUCCCAAAGUCACAUCACGUGGAUUAAAUAUAACGUUGUAUUAUUUCCCUCUGGCGUCGCUGCCUGUUGCUGAGGUGAAAUGCAUUCUGGGAUAUUUGGCGCUCACAAGCGCGGACGAGCCUGCCGCGAUGCAUUGUGGGUGAAAUGGGCGGGGCGAGUCACAUCCGGGUAGUAUGACCGGUCUCGGCCAGAUGCAGACUUCCUGUGAGACUCUGAGGACAGAAACUGCAGAACAACACGAGCUUUCACGUCAGACGCCACAAAAGUCUCCAGUGAAACCAGAUAAGGUCGCUGGUCGCUUUGACAAGAAGACACCGACAGGGUUCAUGACGUCACUGCACCAAACGACCAGGGAGCCUGCGCAUGCGCACACCUCAUACCUUUGUGUGUGUUUGGUGUUGCUAAUGCGUUAGAUUGUUGCUGUACCCAUAAAUAUUAUUGCAUUUCACAUUGAAAAUACGUUUUUAAAGCAAUGGGGGCUAAAUACAGAUUGCAAGGGUGAAGGGCUGAAUUCAACAAGUUGUGCUCUCUAAACAAGAGGCCGACACAUUGUUUCUGCGGGUGGUGGUUGCAUCUGACGGAGAUUACAUCUGACGGAGGUUACAUCUGAUGAUGGUUGUCCCUGCACUGGUCCUGCCUUAACCCUGGUUUAAUAAUCCACAAUAAUAUAAAUUGUUCAUACUCUACACACCUACUUCCCUGCUGUUUUCCCCUCAGGUUUGUCCCGGUUGAAGGUUUUUUACAUUUUGGGGUUUAGGGGACAGGAUGUUGCAUGUUUACAGAUUGCAAAGCUGAACAAAAUAAAAUGAUUUGAAUUGAAUAAACAUGUUGACCAGAGGAAUCUGCAAUUGAGGGCUGUUCUCUGCACUCUGACUCCCUUUACACAAAGAAUCCUCAAGUGCGGAUGAGGGAGAUGAUUUCAGGUAUACUAUCCCAACUCAAGUGACUCACAGCCACAUCUUGUUACAGAAUCUGAAAAUUAAAUUCCAAUAAUCCAGAAAAAUGGGCUAGAAAUACGAAUUCUAAACUAACCUGUCCAUGUUUUUUCUGCACUUUUAAUUCCAUAGUUUAUUUCCCUG
ensembl:lncRNA